UCAAGUGUGAUGUAGUGGUUUGAGUAUUGAUUAUGACUCUGGAGACCAGGGUUCAAAUCCCCACUUGAG